rnacentral:lncRNA from 1 species
UUGCAAUGUAAUAACCUCAUUCUGCUACAAAUGCUGAGGCUUCACGACUCAUCUGUCUGCCAGGCAGAGCAUUUCCUGACCUUUUUAAGAAAGCUGGGGAUGGAAAAGCAGCCGGACUGGAGGGUGUCCCGUCUGCCUGGAACCAAAACAGCAUCGCUGAGAGUUCUGGAGGGGAGGAAACUUGCAGCUCAGAGCCAGCAGUGAGGGCUGAGAGCUUGCAUGACCUCCCCUUCCUCCAGAGAGGGAAGAUUGGACUGGCUGCUAUUAUAUUUGAGCAUGGAGACAUGGAGCCCCUGUUUCAGAGCCGGGAGCUGCUCGCGGUGCUGCUCCAUCACACCCGUGAACAUCAUGUCUGUGCCAUGUCCUACACUGGAGCACCAAGCUCCAGCACAUGCAGGGUUCCACUGCGUUGGUGGUGAAGUGUCAUGGCUGAAUUGUGGCUGCUGUAGGCCGUUGGCCUCAAAGAGCUGAAGGGAAGACGGGGAGGAGAUGGACGUUGGCAGACCACGGAAAGGUUGCUGUCAAUCCAGUAAUGUUGCUUGUCUCAUGCACCCAUGGCAGCAUUUCCAGGGCUUUCCAGGACUUCAGCCAUUCUCAUGGGUCUUCUCUGGAUGUUCCUCCAGUGUUUCAGCCUACAUCUCAAGAUACUGGAGUGCAGCCCACGGGCUGGGAGGGGAAGGCUGCAGCUUGGCUUUUGCUCCCUGACCACCAGCCAGCUCCUAUCUCGGGAUGGAUCCAGCAACAGUGUGGGAGCUCGCAUCCAAGAGCCCCAUUGCUCUGCCAGGGCCACACAGGUAGCAGCGAGCCUGAUGUGAAGUCAAGUGCAACAUCUGGGAGUCUUUUCUCCCCGCGUUUUUCCCUUUUAUUUUGGAGCAGCAGCUCUCAAAGGUACAUGCAGGGCUUGCCAAAGUGCUCCUCGCCCACAUGAACACCCCUACAUCUGCAAAAAUG